AUCAGCCACCUCAGAAAAUUAAGGAAAAUGACCUGUUAUGGGAUUUGGGAGAGGGAGAAGACUCAAGAAAAAGACUAUGUGGAGAUAAAGGAAGAAGGAGGAACACGUCAGGACCCCAAUGGGGCCCUGGGUGAUCGCUACUUCUCACCACCCAACACAGAUGUAAUGAGAUUGACUGUAGGACAAGUGCUAGUAAUAAUAAUGGAUCUCAGAUUUUUCUGGAUGCAAUAGCUGAUGGAUUCCUUCACCAAGUAGCUGAAGAACCAACAAGAGGGGAUGCCAUUUCAGAUUUGGUUUUGGUGAGUAGUGAGGACCUCAUAGAAGAAAUGGUUGUAGGGGUCAACCUUGGUUUGAGUGAUCAUGAGCUAAUUCAGUUCAAACUAGAUGGAAGAAUAAACAAAAAUAGAUCUGGGACUAGAGUUUUUGAUUUCAAAAGGGCUAACUUUAAAGAAUUAAGGAAAUUAGUUUGGGAAGUGGAUUGGACUGAAGAACUUGGGGAUCUAAAGGCGGAGGAGGCCUGGAAUUACUUCAAGUCAAAGUUGCAGAAACUAUCAGAAACCUGCAUCCCAAGAAAGGGGAAAAAAUUCAUAGGCAAGAGUUGUAGACCAAGCUGGAUGAGCAAGCAUCUCAGAGAGGUGAUUAAGAAAAAGCAGAAAGCCUACAAGGAGUGGAAGAUGGGAGGCAUUAGCAAGGAAAGCUACCUUAUUGAGGUUAGAACAUGUAGGGAUAAAGUGAGAAAGGCCAAAAGCCAUAUAGAGUUGGACCUUGCAAAGGGAAUUAAAACCAAUAGUAAAAGGUUGUAUAGCCAUAUAAAUAAGAAGAAAACAAAGAAAGAAGAGGUAGGACCGUUAAACACUGAGGAUGGAGUGGAGGUUAAGGAUAAUCUAGGAAUGGCCCAAUAUCUAAACAAAUACUUUGCCUCAGUCUUUAAUGAGGCUAAUGAAGAGCUUAGGGACAGGGCCGGCUCUGGCUUUUUUGCCACUCUAGCCAAAAAAGCCUC
rnacentral:lncRNA from 1 species